AACUUGACUAUACAAUAUCAAUAUAAAAUGUUCUACACACAUGCAGCUGUUUGGUUAGUGAUAUAUUUCUGUAUAUUCCCUUGCUUAAAUCUGCAAACACAUGCCCUUUAUGACACAAAUUAGAAUUCAAAUUCAAGAAGUUCUUUUAAUUGAUUUAUUAAUAAAUUUAACAGAAAAUUUGACAUUAUAAGCAUGAUAUAACACUGCAUUGUGUAGCAUAUAACUAAAUAUAGACUGUGGAAACACAUACUCUGUUCUGUAGUGAAAGUAAAACAAAAUUAUACGUGUACAUUUUUUAACCUAUCCUCUAACAUACAAACAUCAAACGAAGUACACAUUUUUUAGAACAACUGAUUUUUUCAUAACUGAUACUUUGAUGGAAAUAAUUAAGCAAAGAAAAUUAAAGAAUUAAGAUAUUCCUAAAUGAAUGUUUUUUCUUUAUAAAUUAUGACUAGAACUAAAAAAAGAUUAUUCCUUUGAACACUAUUGGAAAGAUGUGCUUUUCAAAUAGACAAACAUAUUUUACGAAAUUCAAUGCCAGUAAUAAUGUAAGAAUUUUGACAAUUCUUUUCAUAAAAUUUAACAAUUUUCCUUGACAAAACUGACUUCAAAGAUACAAAGGUCAAAAUAAUAUGAAAGGAGAUUGAGGUUAAGAGGUCAUGGAAAAAACAUAGUUGAUAGAAAAAAUCACUUGAUAUACAAUUGAAACAAAGAAAAAACUGUACAUAAAUACAGGUUAAAAAAUACCUCUAUAUUAAGUUAGCUUAAUGUCUGUUUUUAAAGGAGUAAGUUCGGUAAGUGCCAUAUUUGGCCCCAAUUAUAAAGUUCAUGGUUACAAGAUAAUAAUUGUUUUAAGUUGCCUUAAGACAUGUGAAAAAGUUAAACAGAG
rnacentral:lncRNA from 1 species